CCACUGCAUCCCCAAAUCCUCCAAACUCCAAAUCCUCAGGACACGACUCCAAGAAAUACAGGUCGGUCCAGGGUCUCUGUGGUCGUCAUUAUCUUUGCCUUUAUAUCCGUUGUGGCUGUCGCUGCUUUCGCUCCAUGUUUCUCUGACCGUGUAAAUAAGCAACCAGAGGAUGAUGAGACGCCAAGAUAACAGUAACCUGGCAUUGUUAGGAACGCUGGUGUUAAUGGAGCUGAGAGCGUUAGAGAUUUAUCUUCCCUGGAUCUUCAGUCAGGUUGGGAAUUCAAACCAGCAGCCACAGGAAGACACUCGGGUCCAGCAGCACUGAGAUCAUCAUAAGGUCACUCCUACAAAAAGAUCUUUAGCUGUGAUCAAGUGCUGGCUGAUGUGCAUCACCUGCUGAAAGGCAGUUUGGUUUGGAAGGUUGUCCAGGAUGAUCCCAGCGUCCACUGCAGAUCACAGCGUGUGAAUAUUCUGAAGAUUGUAAAAGCAUCGGCAGCUUUCAAGUGACAAAAACUGGAUUUAUGGAGUUCAUAUAGAGACGUCUUUUGUUUUAUUGACUGUAUUGUGGAAAUGGAGUCUUUGGUAGUUCAUUUGAUCAGAUCUGAUUGUUUUUCUUACUUCACAUGUUUUCUUUUGUUUUUUUCUACCAUCUUUAAUGUCUCAGUGAAACUGUAAGUUGAGUACUUGAAGCGCAGAAAGACCUCCUACACUGUGUUAAUUAACUCCAGCACUUUGUCAAAUGUAUGUGCACUAAUACAGUCGUUCCUUCAUUUAACCACACUUGUGUUUAAAAGAUAU